CAAGCGAGCGAAUCUUUGGGAGCUUGCUCCUAAAGGUUAGCGGCGGACGGGUGAGUAACACGUGGGCAACCUGCCUAUAAGACUGGGAUAACNNCNGGAAACCGGAGCUAAUACCGGAUAAUUCUUUUCUACACAUGUAGGGAAGCUAAAAGACGGUUUACGCUGUCACUUAUAGAUGGGCCCGCGGCGCAUUAGCUAGUUGGUGAGGUAACGGCUCACCAAGGCCACGAUGCGUAGCCGACCUGAGAGGGUGAUCGGCCACACUGGGACUGAGACACGGCCCAGACUCCUACGGGAGGCAGCAGUAGGGAAUCUUCCGCAAUGGACGAAAGUCUGACGGAGCAACGCCGCGUGAGUGAUGAAGGUUUUCGGAUCGUAAAACUCUGUUGUUAGGGAAGAACAAGUACGAGAGUAACUGCUCGUACCUUGACGGUACCUAACCAGAAAGCCACGGCUAACUACGUGCCAGCAGCCGCGGUAAUACGUAGGUGGCAAGCGUUGUCCGGAAUUAUUGGGCGUAAAGCGCGCGCAGGCGGUCCUUUAAGUCUGAUGUGAAAGCCCACGGCUCAACCGUGGAGGGUCAUUGGAAACUGGGGGACUUGAGUGCAGGAGAAUGA
rnacentral:rRNA from 1 species